rnacentral:misc_RNA from 1 species
GGGAGCCGCUGGGCGUGUGUGCUGGGAUAUGUCCAUUCAACUUCCCGGCCAUGAUUCCGUUGUGGAUGUUCCCUGUGGCUGUUACAUGUGGCAACACAUUUAUUUUAAAGCCAUCCGAGAAAGAUCCAGGAGCUUCUAUGCUGCUUGCGGAGCUGGCAAUGGAAGCCGGUUUACCUGAUGGAGUACUGAAUAUUGUUCAUGGUACCAAUGACACUGUGAAUAAUAUAUGUGAUGAUGAAGAUAUCAAGGCUGUUUCAUUUGUUGGUUCGAACACAGCUGGGAUGCACAUAUAUGCUAGAGCUGCAGCUAAGGGUAAACGUGUGCAGUCAAACAUGGGAGCAAAGAACCAUGCAAUUAUCAUGCCCGAUGCAAAUGCAGAUGCUACUUUAAAUGCUCUAUCUGCUGCUGGUUUUGGUGCUGCUGGUCAAAGAUGCAUGGCUCUGAGCACAGCUGUUUUUGUUGGGGACUCAAAGCAUUGGGAGGAUGAGCUUGUCAAACGUGCCACAUCACUGAAAGUAAAUGCAGGAGUUGAAGCUGGGACGGACCUAGGUCCUGUAAUCAGUAGACAGGCAAAGGAACGUAUUUGCAGACUAAUCCAAAGUGGGAUCAAUGAUGGUGCUAGGGCAGUUCUUGAUGGGAGAAACAUUGAGGUUCCUGGAUACGAAGAUGGCAACUUUGUUGGACCGACAAUUUUGGGCGAUGUUACAAGUGAGAUGGAGUGUUACAAGGAAGAAAUCUUUGGCCCAGUUCUUCUCUGCAUGCGGGCUGAUAGUCUAGACGAAGCUAUUCACAUUGUUAACAGUAACAAGUAUGGUAAUGGGGCAUCCAUAUUUACGACCUCGGGUGUUGCUGCAAGAAAAUUUCAGACUGAGAUCGAAGCAGGCCAGGUUGGCAUUAACGUACCAAUUCCAGUUCCAUUGCCAUUCUUUUCCUUCACUGGCAACAAGGCUUCAUUUGCAGGUGACCUCAAUUUCUACGGCAAGGCUGGAGUGCAGUUCUUCACUCAGAUCAAGACAGUCACCCAGCAGUGGAAGGACCUACCAGCUCAGGGUGUUUCGCUUGCAAUGCCCACAUCGCAGAAAGCAUGAAUCAUGUUUCCUACCCGGUGUUUAUAAUUUCGUAGAGGUGUAGAUACCAAAUAAGAGCAUGUGUGGAAGAUGGAAC